AACAAACGCUGGCGGCGUGCCUAACACAUGCAAGUCGUACGAGAAAGGGUCCUUCGGGGCCUGAGUAAAGUGGCGCACGGGUGAGUAACGCGUGGAUAAUCUGCCCUUCAGUUGGGAAUAACUCAUCGAAAGGUGGGCUAAUACCGAAUAAUGCUGUGAGACCUCGGUUGAUCAGCCAAAGAGAGCCUCUGCUUGCAAGCCCUCGCUGCAGGAUGAGUCCGCGUACCAUUAGCUAGUUGGUAGGGUAAUGGCCUACCAAGGCGACGAUGGUUAGCUGGUCUGAGAGGAUGAUCAGCCACACUGGAACUGAGACACGGUCCAGACUCCUACGGGAGGCAGCAGUGAGGAAUCUUGCGCAAUGGGGGCAACCCUGACGCAGCAACGCCGCGUGAGUGAGGAAGGUCUUCGGAUCGUAAAGCUCUGUCGGAUGGAAAGAACCGCAUAGGGGUAAACAGCCCCUGUGUCUGACGGUACCGUCAAAGGAAGCACCGGCUAACUCCGUGCCAGCAGCCGCCGUAACAC
rnacentral:rRNA from 1 species